CUCUGAAUCCUAUCAUCUGCAUAACCAAAGUCUGUGAAGCUGUGCUCACAUGCAAGGUGAAAAUGACUCAUACUAAGGACUCAUAAUCAAGCAUCAAACCCAAGGACUCUCAGAUACAAAGCAAGCAUUCACACCUCUAUUCCCAGGAC